GGGAGACCGACAGUGGAAGGGGAAGCCAGAGAUAAAAGGAUUGUAGAGAACAUGAUGAGAGAUGGAGACUUGUUGAGUGAUGCCCCUUAUGUGCCUUAUUUUAGUCUUCAUCCUCAACAAAAGUCUCCUUUUGGUGGUCCUCUUGUGAGUAGAGUCUCUCUGCGAUCACCAGACCACUCAUCCUCUUCCAGUUCAUUCUCAAAUGGGUUUUGUUCACCCCAGUGCGUUUCGCCAUAUGCUGAAAGAGAAAACAGGGUUGCAGAGAACAUAAAGAAAGAUGGAGAGUUGUUUAAUGAUGCCCCUAAUGUGUCAUAUCUUGGUCCUCUCCGUCAACAAAAGCUUUCUUCCAGUGGUACUCCCGCCGGUAGAGCUUCUCUGCAAUCGCCAGAGCCUUCCCCUUCUUCGAGUUUAUUCCCAAAUGAGUUUUGCUCACCUGAGCAUGGUUCACUGUAUGCUAUUCCUUUAUCUGAGGAGGCUAAGUAUCGCACACUAGGUUCCCAGUACUGGAAUGAAACGUGUUUGGAUUCUAAGUCACCUAAUCAUGAUUCUUAUAAGAUCAAUAGGAGGUUGGUGGAUGAAAUGGGUUUGUCUCAAAGUUUCUGUGGAAUGAGUGUUAGGGAGGACCAAAAUGGUGGUGCUAAAAUGAAGGGAUUUGAGAUAGACUCGGAUGGAUUUGGGUUUGGCUCCGACGAAGGUUCUAUGGAUGGGAGCGUACAAUACAAUGUAAAAAAAUAUGGCUCAUAUAGGGGCUUCAACAAUGGGGCUUUUGGUAAUGAAGGUUUUCAAUCCUCUCCCCAGGGAGUUUCUUGCAGUACUUAUGAUGAUUUGAACUAUGCAUUCAAUGGAUUGCAAAGUGGAUUCGGAAAGGAUGCUCAUGAUUCAAUGAGCUCUUCUUUUGCUCAUAAUCAGUCCAAUGAUUUCUGUUCUGGCUCUGCUUGGUAUGAUAAUCAAAGUGAUUAUCUAUUGGGGAGGAGAAAGGAACAGGGAAGAAGUAGGAGCGAUUGGGGGAUUCAAUCGAAGAACCAAUUUAUUACUGGGCCUUGCCUUGAUGAUCCUCCUAGUUUACCCCCGCAUCCCAAAAUGGCUUCUAAUGGAGGCAGGGGUUUCAUGGAGUCAAUGGGUGCUCCUCAGUCGACGAAUCCCGUGUUGGAUUUGGAUGUUUAUCACCCACUGUAUAGAAGAAGUUUGAUGUUAAAAGAAAGGAUCAGAGCAAUCACAAACAAUGGGCUUUCUCAUUCUCUAAUGCCUGUGAAUGGUGCGGGAGAUGCGAAAACCUUUAGCUGUGAGGACAGUUUCAUAAUACAAGGAAAGGGUAAUCAUGCUUGCUACAAAGGACGUGAACCUUUAAGCAGUGACAAAAAGAAUUCCUUCAAUGAGACUUCUGUGCAAAACCUUCGUGGGAAAUGCAUUAAACUAGAUAGUGCCAUCCUCCAUGGAGGAAGUUGCGAAAAUGAUCAGAGGCUAAACAAUGAUAACCUGUUGCGACUGGUUCCAAGUAUUAAUUUCUUGAGUGAGGUACAGGGUAAUAUAUACUUAAUGGCACAGGAUCAGAAUGGUUGCCGGUGGUUACAAAAGAUUUUUGAUGAGGGAACAAGCCAAGAUGUUGAAAUAAUAUUUAACGGAAUAAUUUAUCAUGUUGUUGAACUUAUGUUGAAACCAUUCGCUAAUUAUGUCAUCCAGAAGUUCUUGGAUGUAUGCAAUGAAGAACAAAGGUUGCAGAUUGUGUUCAGGGUGACUGAAGAACAAGGACAGCUUGUUGAGAUUUGCUUGAACACAUAUGGCACACGAGCAGCGCAGAAGUUGAUUGAGACUCUCAAAACCAGGCAGCAGAUUUCACUUGUGGUAUCAUCCCUGAAACCUGGUUUUCUUGAUCUUGUCAAGGAUCAAAAUGGAAAUCAUGUGAUACAGCGUUGCUUGCAAUGCCUUAGCAAUGAAGAUAACAAGUUUAUUCUUGAUGCUGCUGCAAAGUUCUGUGUUGAAAUCGCAACUCAUCGACAUGGAUGCUGUGUUAUGCAACGUUGUAUUACACACUCCACUGGGAAACAUCGAGACAAAUUAAUAACUGAAAUUUCAAAAAAUUCACUUUUCCUUGCUCAAGAUCCUUUUGGAAAUUAUGUUGUGCAAUAUAUUAUAGAGCAAAAGAGCCCGUCUGCCAUUGUCAAUUUGCUUUCUCAAUUUAAAGGGCACUACGUACACCUCUCCAUGCAGAAAUUUAGCAGUCAUGUGGUUGAAAAGUGCCUUAAUCAUUUGGACGAGAGCCAGGAACAAAUUAUUCGUGAAUUGAUCUCAGUGUCACGCUUUGAACAGCUAUUGCAAGAUCCAUUUGCCAACUAUGUCAUUCAAUCUGCCCUGGCAGUUACUAAGGGUUCUCUUCAUUCUAUACUGGCUGAUGCAGUCCGACCCCAUGUGAUUUUACGUACCAAUCCAUACAGUAAGAGGAUUUUCUCAAGGAAUCUCCUGAAGAAAUAAUGUAAUACUGUGGUAAGUGUUGUUCUUCUGUCAGUAUUACAACCUUGUUCACUACUAAUAAAUAGCCUCUGAAGUGCAGGCAACUAAAUGUAGAAUGUCAUCAGAAUUUGCUGCUGAUAUCCUGGUUCGAAAUUUCAAAACUCUCUGCAUGAGUCUGAAGAAUAGAAAUUGAAGUUUACUUCUGUUUAUGAUGCAGGUAUGAACUUGUAUUAUUCUGUUAGUCCUGUUGUUGUCUUGUGUAUCAAACUUCAAAUGUAAUUUUGCACGGUCAGAAACUUGAUUAUCUGUUUCCAAGUUUUGUAAUACGUGAUACCAGCAUAUUUUUCUCCAUCAUGUUCCAUUGUUUCUCAAGUUGAAAAUGCACAGAAAUUUGUCUGUCAUUUUAGCAUGGCGUAGCUUGGUUACAUUUGAAAGAAAAAGCUGUUUUAAACUGUUGAUGUUUCAAAUCGAAAUUGGGUGAUUUUAAA
rnacentral:misc_RNA from 1 species